GUGUGAAGAUGCAAUGAACACAGAGAGAUGGAAAAAGGAAAAUGGACACUUAAAGGCCAGAGAAUUCAUCCUUUCCCCAGUGUUAUGAAACCCUUAGACUGAAAUGAGACAGUAUCUUUGGAUGAGGUGUUAAUUAAAUUGAAAAAGAUGUAUGAGUUGGAAUUGGAAUUUUCCUGUUCAUCAUUAAUACAGAAUGUGACACAAUCACCUGGUGUCUGAAGACUAUAUUCAGUUCAGUCAGACAUUGGGUACAUUAGACUCAUGACUGAUACGAGAAACCCAGAGGGACUGAACAAUGUACCAAAGGUUUCCCAGCUGAUAAAGGGCAGAACCAGGAUUUGAACCAUGAUCCCUUGUCUACCAGGCCACUGUCAAAAUAUUGGACUGAUUUCUUUCAACCAAGGUCACACAGCGAUUUGGGGAAGACACUCUGCAAGAGUAUUCAAUCUAUCACCCUUCUUUCAUUGAGCAAUUUUCAAACUGUUGUACUGUAUUUUAAUAAUGUUAUGAAAAAUCCUAUACUAGUCUCAGUUUUAAGGAAAAGGCCAGAAAGUGAUCUAUUAAUGGCAACUUGAUUGAAAUAUUUGUGGUCUGUAUUUUAGCGGGAAGUCACUGAGGGCAAUGGCAGGAAAUAAAUUUGCCUUGCUAAUAGAAAACCCCAGAGCAGUAUAGAAUUGAAGAUCCAAUCAUGCUGCUUUCUUGUGAAUAAAACAUACAGAUUGAAAGCUAGGGAUGGAUUGAGCCAUCGCAUCGGAAUCACACAGAAUUAUAGGUUUGGUUCACAAAUUGCCGCUUGGGAUUGCAUUUACAUAAUAACAAGUGGCUGGCUGCUCUGAGGCCAAGGAAGCAAAUUCUCCCUGAACGCAGAAGAGGACAAUGUCCCCAGGCAUCUCCUGGUACCUGUGGGAAGUCACUGAAAAUCUACUGCAGCAACUGGAACAAGCCAGACUUUGAGCUUUGGACCUCUAAUUCUCGAGUUGAGGCUUGUUUUCGUCAUGUACUACAGCUUGUUUUUGAGAAUUAUCUGCAUGUCUGGACUGGGGUAAGAGCCUCUUGCCUACAAAGCCACAAGAAAAAAAUUCUGCAAAGCUCACAAACGUGUCCUACUGCUUCAGGAAUGGUUCAGGAACUGAUGUGGUCCAGGAAGUGUCCUUACAGGUGGACCCACUGUUGGGGAAAACCAAGGAGCUCUGGAAACCAAAGGAUUUAUCACUUUGCUUUUUACUAGCAAUAUAAAACCAUUAGUGUCCAUAUCUGGUAAAAGGAGAAGAUAAUGGUGAUGAUGAUGCAGAAGAAAAUACAUACUCAACAAGAAUAAAUUUCAGAUAAAAUGAAACACUGUAAACUGAAGCAUGAUGAUGAAAAUUUUGAUUCCAUCAAAGCUUUGCCAAACUAUUGUUCUUGACAAAAAUAUU